CCUACGGGUGGCAGCAGUGAGGAAUAUUGGUCAAUGGACGAGAGUCUGAACCAGCCAAGCCGCGUGAAGGAUGACGGCUCUAUGGGUUGUAAACUUCUUUUGUAUGGGAAUAAAAUGCUCUACGUGUGUGAUUUUGUAUGUAUCAUAUGAAUAAGGAUCGGCUAACUCCGUGCCAGCAACCGCGGUAAUACGGAGGAGCCGAGUGUUAUCCGGAUUUAUUGGGUUUAAAGGGUGCGUAGGUGGAUUGUUAAGUCAGUUGUGAAAGUUUGGGGCUCAACCGUGAAAUUGCAGUUGAAACUGGCAGUCUAGAGUACAGUAGAGGUGGGCGGAAUGCGUGGUGUAGCGGUGAAAUGCUUAGAUAUCACGAAGAACUCCGAUUGCGAAGGCAGUUCACUGGACUGCAACUGACACUGAGGCUCGAAAGUGUGGGUAGCAAACAGGAUUAGAUACCCUAGUAGUC
rnacentral:rRNA from 1 species